AACCCAUAGUGAGGGUACCUUCUUAAUAAAUCCUGGUACCUCUCCCAUGCAUCAUAUAGAGUCUCUAAAUUGAUCUGCACGAAGGAAGAGAUAUCAUUCCUCAACUU